AACGCACGAGACCUGCGGACCUGCGGAAGGAUCAUUAGUGAAUUUGGGAUGACCUCUGCAAAGGGGAACACUCCUUUAAUACACUUUCACAAACCCUUUGUGCACUGUUUUGUCUUUUUGCCGCAAGGCAAUAGGACUUUUUACAAACACUUUGGUGUUCAUUUAAUAAAAGUUGUUGAUGUAACAAUGUGAUAAACGAAAGUAAAACUUUUAGCAACGGAUCUCUAGAUCGGAAGAGCA
rnacentral:misc_RNA from 1 species